rnacentral:rRNA from 1 species
UACGUAGGAUGCAAGCGUUAUCCGGAUUCAUUGGGUUUAAAGGGUGCGUAGGCGGGAUUGUAAGUCAAAGGUGAAAGCCUAUAGCUUAACUAUAGAAGUGCCUUUGAUACUGCAAUUCUUGAGUACAGUUGAGGUGGGCGGAAUGUGUAAUGUAGCGGUGAAAUGCAUAGAUAUUACACAGAACACCGAUUGCGAAGGCAGCUCACUAAGCUGUUACUGACGCUGAGGCACGAAAGCGUGGGGAG